UAAGACAGAGGAGGCAAGCGUUGUUCGGAAUCAUUGGGCUUAAAGGGCGUGUAGGCGGCUGCGCAAGUGUUCUGUGAAAUCCCAGGGCUCAACCCUGGAACUGCAGGGCAAACUGCGUGGCUUGAGGUCGGUAGAGGUGCCUGGAACUCUAGGUGGAGCGGUGAAAUGCGUAGAUAUCUAGAGGAACGCCAGAGGCGAAAGCGGGGCACCAGGCCGAUUCUGACGCUGAGACGCGAAAGCGUGGGGAGCAAACAGGAUUAGAUACCCUGGUAGUCCACGCUGUAAACGAUGCACACUGGGUGCGGGUGACACUGACGUCCUCCGCGCCGAAGCCAAAGUGCUUAGUGUGCCGCCUGGGGAGUACGGCCGCAAGGCUA
rnacentral:rRNA from 1 species